GUGUAACACAUUUAGAUCCUGACAAAUUAAAAGAAUGUUUUGCAUUAAUACAUAAAAGAUAGGCAGCUACGUGGAAUAGAAUAGAACAUCCAGAAACAAAUUCACUUAUAUAAAAGCUACCUGAAAUCACUGGAAGAAGCAAGUGAAUUAUUCAGUGAACCUUUUGAAAAAGUUAAGGCUAGGCCCAGACCUCACAUUUUAUAGGAUAAAUUCCAUAAGGAUCACAGUUUUAAAUGUAAAGGCUGAAAUUUUAAAAAUUAUAGAAUUCUUCCUAAUUUGAGUGGGGAAGACCUUUCUAACUAGGCAUAAGGCCUAGAAGUCCUAAAAGACUAAUACAUUCAACUACUUAAAAAAAAUGCAUGGCAAAACUACCAUUAGCAGAGCCAAAAGGUAAAAGACAGGGAAAAAAAUAACUUUAAGUUGUAUCACACAGAGCAGGUUUCUCUAGUAUGUAAAUAGCUAAAUCCUACAAUUAAGGUAGGUAAAAAAGAUGAAAAAAAAAAAAAGACAGACAAAUGGGUGAAUAAUAAGUGAACAAGCAUUUAGCAGGAAAAAAAUAUAAAUAAUUAAAAUAUUUUAAGAGAUGUUCAAACUCAGUCAAACUAGGAGAAAUGUAAAGUAGAAUUUUCACCUAUCAAGUGAUCAAAGAUCCAAAAAAGCUAUAACUCACUGUGCUGGUCUUAGGCCGUAGCAUAAAUUAGUUCAAUCUCUGUGGAGGACAAUUCAUCAAAAUGUAUCUAAUUACAAAAGCACAUAGCUAUUUCUAAAAACGUAUCCGACAGGUAUACGUGCAAAUUUGUGUAGGAGGUUAUUUGGUGCAGCCUAACAGGGAAAGAUGAAAAACAGCCAAAUGCCCUCACUAGAGAACUGGUUUAAUAAAUUACAGUAUUUCCAUGCAGUGUAAACUAUACACUAUAAAAAGGAUAAGGGAGUAUUUUCUGUAUGGGUAUGAAUAAAUUCCAAAAUAUAUCAACUGAAAAAAGCAAGGUACAAAAUGGUUGUGUAUAAUAUACUAUUAUCUGUGCAAAAAAGGCGAAAAUGAAACAAUAUACAUAAACAUUUGCUUAAUAUGCAGAGAAUAUCUGGAAAGAUACACAAAAAUAGUAAGAAUCAGUCACAAUCACUGCCUGUGGAGAGGAGUUAGGUACAUAGUAUAAGAGAUAGGAAUGGGAAGGAAAAUGUUCACUGCACUGUCCUUUUUUAUUCCUAAAUUCUGAAUGUACUAUGUAUUUUAAAAAUUAAAGAUUCAAAGAAUAAUAAACAGAACAAAAGCAAUGGUAUCUUCCACAAGGACUCUUAAUCUGAGAUUUAAGGAUACUUGGGGAGUAUCCCUAAAUCUUCCUUUAACCCCUGAAAUUUUCAAAAUGUAUGUGUAUUUUUCUCAGAAGAGAGCUCACAGUUUUCAUCAGACUCUCAAGUGGCUAACGGACAUCUAGUGUAUACCAGGAACCACUUCUUUAAAACAAAUGCUUAGAAAAAUUCUUAGCAGUUUGUAUUCACAGCACUUUACUCUCGUAGAUCAAUAAUACAGACGAUUACUUUAAAAUGUGAAUACUAAAAAUGUAUUAACAAAUCACUAGGUUAUAUAUAGUUAAGAAUAUCCUAUUUCUAUCACCUCUUCUAGUUUUUUUGGAAAUGAAGGAGCCCAUUGUUAUCUUUUCAGCCAAUUAUGAUAGGCCCCAAAGGGUCCUGGAUGAGUGAU
rnacentral:lncRNA from 1 species